rnacentral:rRNA from 1 species
UACGUAGGUGGCAAGCGUUGUUCGGAAUUACUGGGCGUAAAGGGCGCGUAGGCGGGAUGGCAAGUCGGUCGUGAAAUCCCUCGGCUCAACCGAGGAACGUCGAUCGAUACUGCUGUUCUUGAGGAUUGCAGAGGAGACUGGAAUUCCCGGUGUAGCGGUGAAAUGUGUAGAGAUCGGGAGGAACACCGGUGGCGAAGGCGGGUCUCUGGGCAAUUCCUGACGCUGAGGCGCGAAAGCGUGGGGAGCAAACGGG